rnacentral:rRNA from 1 species
CCAAUAGCGUAUAUUAAAGUUGUUGCAGUUAAAAAGCUCGUAGUUGAAUUUCGGGAUCAGAUUGUCGGUCGUGCCUCGGUACGCACUGGCAUUAUUGGUUCCUACCUUCUGAAGAACCGCGAUGUCAUUAAUUUGGUGUCGUGGGGAAUCAGGACUGUUACUUUGAAAAAAUUAGAGUUUUUAAAGCAGGCGCACGCUUGAAUACAUUAGCAUGGAAUAAUGAAAUAGGACGUUUGAUUCUAUUUUGUUGGUUUCUAGGAUCGACGUAAUGAUUAAUAGGGAUAGUUGGGGGCAUUAGUAUUCAAUUGUCAGAGGUGAAAUUCUUGGAUUUAUUGAAGACUAACUACUGCGAAAGCAUUUGCCAAGGAUGUCUUCAUUAAUCAAGAACGAAAGUUAGGGGAUCGAAGACGAUCAGAUACCGUCGUAGUCUUAACCAUAAACUAUGCCGACUAGGGAUCGGAUGAUGUUAAUUUUUUAAUGACUCAUUCGGCGCCUUACA